UAUUGCGCCGGGUCCAAUAAAUAUCUUUUUUUUUUUUUUUUUUUUUGCCCAGAGUUUAUAUAUUCAGGUACUUCACUUCCAAUGAGCUUUACAUGACUAGGAAAGGACUGAUUCUGUUGUAUUUGGAUGGGAGCCUCUAAAAUGGCCACCAAUGAUCCCACUCUUGGUAGUAACAGCUUUGUUAAUUUCUUUUCCUUAACGUGCGUGGUACCUAAUGAUCCACUUAAAAAAAUGGAUGCAAUUUUAAAGACUAGGUUACAAAAACACUACCUUCCACAUCUCUACCUCUUCUUUCAACUUCUGCCCUGGACGAAGAUGGCUCUUACAUUGUGAAUAGCCUUACAUGGAGAAUCAAGAGCUGACAUGUCCAGCACACAGCAGACAGGCCCGGAGGCCAGCGUGCAGCUACGAGGAUGAACCUGCACAUCUCCCAGUCACUCUUGGCAUGAUCGCUGUUGCUGCUGCUGCUGCCUGAGGACAGAUUCCUGAGAGAGUUAGGGAAGGAUCCUGUACUUCUCGCGGCUUCACCGAAGUCAGGAACAGCAGCUUCCUCAGCUAAGCUUCCAUGCACCGUAGUGAAAGCACAACUGAAAGACUCAAAGCUGUGUUAUAAGUAGUUCAAUAAAUGCAGCGUUCGAUUUGUUGAGAAUUUAUGUUUCUAUUCACCUAAACUGCUGCUCUGCUGUAAAAUUCUAUGUAUUGUGGUAUUGUGGUGAGCUCAACUUUAGGGAUGAUCUUGGUAGCAAUAACAUGAUAGUUAAUAUCAAGAAAGUAAUACAUUUAAUCUUCUAUCCAUAAAGAAUUG